rnacentral:rRNA from 1 species
UUUUUUAAUUGGAAACUGGAAUGAAGGGUAGAAACUAAUGGGAAGGUUUUAUUUUAUGAUGUUUGAAUUUAAAUUAAGAGUAAAAAUGCUUUUAUAAAUUCCUGGGACGAGAAGACCCUAGAAGUUUUAGAUUAGAAAUUUUUAGUUGGGGCAAUUAAUGAAGAUACAAAUUUUUAUGAAGAAAAAAUAAUAUAUAUAUUUAAUUACUCUAGGGUUAACAGCGUUAUUUAACUAACAAGUUCUUAUUAAUAGUUAAGAUUACGACCUCGAUGUUGAAUUAAUUUAUAUUAUUUUGAUGAAGGAGUUAUUUAAUUAUAGUCUGUUCGACUAUUAAAAAAUUACAUGAUUUGAGUUCAAACCGGCUUAAGCCAGGUCGGU